GUGAAUGUUGAAACUAACUAUGUUUUUGUAAUACUAGCCUGGAAACAAGAGUCCACUUAUUUGUCCAGUGCCCUUUUGCCUGUUCUCUGUGGACUAAGAUCUGCACCUGGCUCAAGAUGAAACCACUAAUAAUGAGUGAUUGGGUGAACCACAUUGCAGGAGUCAUUGUGGGAGCCAAAGGUAAGACACUGAAGGCUCAACUAUUUCAAAUGGUGUACACUGACGCAAUUCAUACUUUACGGAUGGAAAGGAACCAGAGGCUGUAUGAGAAGAAAAGUAGAACUAUGGAAGGGAUUGCAAAAGAAAUAGCUUUUACUUGCAAUGUCAGAGCUCAGGCAAUGAUCAGCACACUACUGCAGUCUCAUAGUUUUUGGCGGGCUUCUUUGCUCUCCCAAUUAGAGCUUAAUGAUCCUCAUGUUGGGACCUGAAGUGACACAGUUAGUAAUGGCUAAGUCCUUAUGCCCCUCCCUAGUGUAGUUUAGUUUUGAGGCUCCCUUUGAUAACAGACUGUGUUAGAGUCCUGUUGUGGUUUGUAAUGCAACAUUUGGUGAUUAAUAAAGGUAAACUAAUCACCCAAGAAAAGAAAAAACUGAAAACUAGUAAAAUUUCGAGAAGAAAAACAAACAACAUAUAAAACUUCUCUAUAUGGUAUAAGAAAACUGAAAAUAUAGAAAUUUCAUGUUCCGCUCAUUCCACGAGCAACUUUUUCCAAUAAAGUUUUCUGGUGAAGGAUAAAGAUAUAUGUCAAAGAUGAAAUCCUGACCUUUAAAUUCUGAGGUGUAAGUAUAGCCACACAACCUGAGCAUAACUCCAAGAAAACAACCUGAGCAUAACGCCAUAAGCCGAUCGGAAUCCAUUUCCGCCGGCGUAAAGUGGCGGUGUACGGCGGAGGUUUAUGACGGUUGAGAAGGGAAGGCGGGAGUUCGCCGAUGAGUGAGUUAGAAUCAGUUUGACUCGGACGAGUUGAGAAUGGUGAGUGUUGGGUUUAAAUGAAUUUUAACUGUUGGUUGAGAUUUGUUGUGGCUUAGUUGGACGGGUGGGAUUUCGUUCGACACGUGGCGAUUGAAGGUGAUUGGAUAGUGUGAUAUACUUUGCCAGAGUGUCAAGUUUUCUUGGAUACAGUGAAAAGAGAAAAGUGGUUAACACUUUGUUUGGAUAAUGCUUUGCCAUGCUUCAUAAUGUAUGGUACUGGACAACAACUGUUUUAUUGUUGGUUUGAUAAUAUGGUAUUGUAACUGGUAAGUUUAUUAAAAUGUUUAAUUAUUAUAAAUAUUAAAUUUAUC
rnacentral:lncRNA from 1 species